UCGAAGACAAAAUAGACGACAUGGAAAAUUCUUCGUGUAUUCUGCUCCAAAAAACUUCGAGUUUUCACCGGAGUUCUGAAGGAAAACUGCUGGAAAAGUGUAAUGAAAGGCGUCUCUAAAGAGAUCUACCCAUGAAGAUGUCCAAGACUGGCCUGUGAUAAUGGAGUUUUAGGUUUGAGUAAGUCUUCGAUCUUUAAGAGAUAUCUACCCAUCAACAAUAUAGAUGUCCAAGACUGUACUAUGGUUAAGGAGCUGCUCUUCAGUGAGAGUAAGGCUUACCAUCUCAAAAGAGAUCUACCCUCAACAAGUCGAUGCCAAUGUCUGGUCUAUAAAGGAACGGAAAACUUUUCCAAGAGUUAAGCUUACCAUCUCCAGGUAUACCUAUCGACAAGCCUGGCCCACAAUAAACGAGCGUCAGUACUCUUCAGUGAGCUCCAGUCUCCCAAAGAUCAAAAUGUCUGAGACCCACUUAUCAUCAUACGUAACCUGGCAUAAAGAACAACCUUCUCUGUGAACAGGAAGGCUUCCGACGUUCCACAUGGAAAAAUACACUUCACUGUUAUUUGAGCAGUCCUAGCGUUACCUUAUUUUCUCGUGCUUUAGAAAAUCAGUUUUGUUAAUUAUUA